rnacentral:rRNA from 1 species
GGUUAAUGCUGGCGGCAGGCCUAACACAUGCAAGUCGGACGGUAGCACAGGGGAGCUUGCUCCUCGGGUGACGAGUGGCGGACGGGUGAGUAAUGUCUGGGGAUCUGCCCGAUAGAGGGGGAUAACCACUGGAAACGGUGGCUAAUACCGCAUAAUGUCGCAAGACCAAAGAGGGGGACCUUCGGGCCUCUCACUAUCGGAUGAGCCCAGAUGGGAUUAGCUAGUAGGCGGGGUAACGGCCCACCCAGGCGACGAUCCCUAGCUGGUCUGAGAGGAUGACCAGCCACACUGGAACUGAGACACGGUCCAGACUCCUACGGGAGGCAGCAGUGGGGAAUAUUGCACAAUGGGCGCAAGCCUGAUGCAGCCAUGCCGCGUGUAUGAAGAAGGCCUUCGGGUUGUAAAGUACUUUCAGCGGGGAGGAAGGCGAUGUGGUUAAUAACCGCAUUGAUUGACGUUACCCGCAGAAGAAGCACCGGCUAACUCCGUGCCAGCAGCCGCAGUAA